ACACGCUACCGACUGUUAGAAUAAUGCUUUCAUUUUGACGGACGCACACUGUAUUCCUCAGUGCAAUCAGACCCAUGACGUGAGGAGGCUUUGAGAAAAGCCCAGCUUGAUGACAAAUCUCUGAACUUUCACUCCUAAAACAAACACAUCAUUGGGAAGAAAAAAAGAGAAGAGAGUGGAAAAAGUGGAUAAAUAUGUCAUCAGUUGGAUUUGCCAUAAAAUUUACAGAGAUCAAAUUGCCAGCCAGCCCCGCCCCAUCCCAUCACGUCCAAAUGACUGGGUGUUCUAGAUUUGGAGGAAGCUGCCUUGAUGUCAUCUCUGAGGUGAUAGCAUUUCCUGGCUGUGGAAGCUCAUAUUCUCCAUUGUUGUUGUCAUAACAAUGAUGAAAGUGGUAGACCUAUACAGACUUUACCGACUGAUUUUGACCCUAGAGAAAACCAUCUCAUACCAUGAGUCAGAAGUUGAAGUUUUGGGCAAGGGAAUACAGACCAAUAGCAAUAUUAAGGUAAGUAUUGUUUUAACCAGUAGUUAGGGCAAUGUUAAAUUUUAUUAAUACUAUUCAGUCCUAUCAAAUUCACUCUCACUUUCCCUCAUCCUGACCUCACCCCUCUCCAUUGAUGCUCAAACUUUAUUGUGUUUCUGGAGCUUUACAUACAUUUUUUUGGCAUUUUACAAAAUUUGUCUGCUUUUACAACGGGUUUAUUUACAAUAAAAAAAAAAAAAUGAAAAAAACAAACCAAAUAUAAUCUAAUUGCUCCCCGUAUCAACAACCAAAGUGUAUUUGUACAACAGGUUGAAACAAGUCUGUGGUUUAUUCAAUCUGCAAAGAGAGACUGUGAGCAGAUAACAUGAAGGCUCAACAGACUAAAUCACUUUUGAUCUGUCUUAUCUUCUUGAACUUUUACGCUCUGGGUUUCGAACAUGUUGGCAGCCUGUUGGAGAUCUCAGAGAUAAGGGCAGGAUCCAAAUUCAAUACACAACUAUCUGCUUUGGUAACACUGGCCAAGCUCAGGGGGAGCGUUGGCCUAGUGGCAAGAGCAGUGCGCUUGUGCUCUGGCAAGGAUGCAAGUACCAAGCUCGAUCCCACAGCUUCCUGUCUGGGUCUCUGAGCAAGACCCUUAACCCCACACUGCCUCACAGUAGCAGCUCACUGCUCCCCAAGGUGAUAGGUUAAAUGCAGAGGUAAAUUUCUCCAGAGAUUAAUAAAGUUUAGUUAUAUUAUAACAAUGCUAACAGUUAAUAUGACAGCAAUGAAUUUAAAGUUACUGAAUACUGUUUAUGCAAGGAAGAAAUAUACAUAAAUUAUACAAACAUUAUCAACACUGAUUCCAUAUUAUAUCAACCAGAGAAAUCAGCUACAUUUGGCUUUAGCCAUUCAAACCGGAUAAAAGGACUAAAGGCAGGCAGACUCGAAGUCAGGCGCAAAUUUCAAAUUGGUGCAUAUCUAGCAUUUCAGAAUAAUUAUAUAAAAGCACCAAUUCAGUCAUCAUAAAUGAGCUUUGGUCUGUAGCUAGGUCCUAAGUUAGGACUCCUGUCUGUGUGGUUUGUGUUUUGUGUGUUUGUCUUCCUUCCUCCACCAGGCGGCGCCUAGUCCUGAUUCACCUCCUCACACACCUGCAAAGGGUU